GCGCCUGUAGCUCAAUCGGAUAGAGCAACGGAUUUCUAAUCCGUAGGUUAGGUGUUCGAUUCACCUCAGGCGCG
rnacentral:tRNA from 2 species